GGGCCCGUUGCCUAGCCUGGACCCUCUUGGGAAUCAUCCUUUGGGACGCAAAUAGGGCGCUAGCCUUCUAAGUUAGAGAUCGCCGGUUCAAAUCCGGCCGGGCCCGCCA
rnacentral:tRNA from 1 species